GAUAAACGCUAGCGGCAGGCUUAACACGUGCAAGUCGAGGGGCAGCAUAGAUUGUAGCAAUACAAUUGGUGGCGACCGGCGCACGGGUGCGUAACGCGUAUGCAACCUACCCGUCACAGGGGGAUAAUCCGGAGAAAUCUGGUCUAAUACCCCAUAACAUAUGGAUCGGCAUCGGUUCAUGUUGAAAUUUUCGGAGGUGACGGAUGGGCAUACGUGGCAUUAGCUUGUUGGUGAGGUAACGGCUCACCAAGGCGACGAUGGUUAGGGGGACUGAGAGGUUUUCCCCCCACACUGGUACGCAGCCAAGGACCAGACUCCUACGGGAGGCAGCAGUGAGGAAUAUUGUUCAAUGGGCGCAAGCCUGAACCAGCCAUGCCGCGUGCAGGAUGACGGCUCAAUGAGUUGUAAACUGCUUUUGUACGAGGGUAAAGUGGGUUACGUGUAACCUUUUGAAAGUAUCGUACGAAUAAGGAUCGGCUAACUCCGUGCCAGCCGCCGCCGUAA
rnacentral:rRNA from 1 species